AUUACUUGAAUGAAGAGGAUAACAUAAUACUGAGCUAAAAAUUUUAUGUAAAGUAUGUUUUCAGUUUAGUUUACAAUACAAGCUGUAAAUGUGCUGGAGAUUUUAUUGAUGUUGAAGCUUGUAAACAAAACCAAUAAACGUAGGACUUAUUCACGGCAAUGUAUGGGAACCAGAGCUGGGAACCAGUCUAGAAGGCAAAGAAAAUUCCGCCAAGUAAACAACAAAGAAUUUGGGAUGUUGUCAGUUGUAUACAUUAUGUGGGCCGGUGACUGCAAGAAGCAAGGAAUGUGGAGCUAAUGCAUGCUGCUAAGGAUGGAAAGUUCUUGUGUUUAUUGGUUGUUCCUGAGACAUCAGUCACAGUUUUACCUUAUUUCCAUUUUAGAAGCAAGGAAUGUGGAGCUAAUGCAUGCUGCUAAGGAUGGAAAGGUCUUGUGUAUAUUGGUUGUGCCUGAGACACCAGUCACAGUUGUACUUUAUUUCCAUUUUAGAUGUUGUGAUGAAGAUUGUUGAAAGAGAUUAUCGACAUAGAACCAAUCCAUAUGAAUGUGCAAGUCAGGACUUGUACAACACCUGAGUACCCAGAUGACUGUUGAACUAAUUGGUGAACAAGAAAAGAUGUCAGAGAGGGGAAUCCAAAACAGAUGUCAUGAUCAAGAAAAUGUACUGUUAUCAAUGAUAUGAUCAAAAAUUUGUAAACUUGUAGCGAUUUAGAAUAUCUUAUCUGUAAUAUAACUCUUUAAUACUUAAUUGUUCACACAUUAUCAUCUUAUCUGUAUAUUAAUCACCCCCUCUUAUAUAACCCCCUGGUGAUUGUAAUGACCUGUGUAUUGAUUCCUGAUCUUAAGGAUCUUAUACAUGUAAUGUGCUCCUGAUCGUCAGGAGCGGAUCUUGAGUAUAUAUAUAGUGCGACAGAAUUUUAGAAUAAGAUAGGAAGAUGGAAAUAUAGAAGACUUAGUAGAUAGAACUGUUAGAGAUAGAUAAAGUUACUUACUUACUUGGAAUAUAACCUAUAGUAAUAUUUCUUGGAUUUAUAUGUACAUGUGAUUAUUUAACUUGUACAUGUAUUUUAUUUUUAGUGAAUUAUUUUUCCUGAAUGUUUCUAUUUGUGAUGUGCUGUGUAAAUAAACUGUAGACUAGAAUUUCGGCAAGAUAUGAGGAACAAGGAUAAUUGAUUUAUUCAUGCAAACUGACAUUAUGAAAUGUGUUAUAAGACUGCCUGAUGCAGCGCUACAAACUAACUAGUAAAUAUCUUGGAGAUAUAUAGAUGAACAUGCAAGCAUUCUUGGUUUUAAAUGUUAUUCAUUCAGAGUUUUUGCACAAAUACAAUUUUCAGUACAGUAAUCUAAACUGGAUGUGUGAAUUUCAGUACAGUUAUGUAAAAUGAAUAUGUUAUUUUAUUUUGAUUGUCAGUUUCUCAACAGGACAUAAUUUAUUUUUUUGCAGAACAAAACACACAGAACUUUUUUUUCUCUUUGUGCAUCAUACACUUGUAAAUGUUUUACACCAUCUUGGUUACAUAUUUUACAUUUAUGACGUGUAAAUCGAGCAAACACAUGAAAAUACGUGAAGCUGGAUACAUAUGCAAACAUGCAUCUACCAUAACCUAUUACAUAUUUUCCAAGGUGUGUGAAGUCGAGCACAUACAUGAAAAUGUGUGAAGCUGGACACAUACACAAAUACACAUGCAUCUGCCACAACCUAUUACAUAUUUUCCAAGGCGUGUGAAGUCGAGCACAUACAUAAAGAUGUGUGAAGCUGGACACAUAUGCAAACACACAAGCAUCUACCACAACCUAUUACAUAUUUUCCAAGGCGUGUGAAGUCGAGCACAUACAUGAAAAUGUGUGAAGCUGGACACAUAUGCAAAUACACUAACAUUUACCAAAUCUAAACUUAAUCAAGCAUAGACAGGCUCAUGGGGUGAAGCUGGACUCGUACAUGAUCUCAUGCAUUUUGCAAACUGCAUCCCCGCAUCUAUUCUAAUAGAUUUUUCAACAUAUUUUGUGUUUGUGAAUAUGUAAAAUGCAUCAAUUUGCAUUACAAGUUGAAGA